GCAGCCAGACCAAUCAAGUCCUUUCAGGUAGACAAGGGAAUGCAAUGUGUAUGAUCUGUAAGUGUUUUUAUUUGUUUGUUUUUGCCGUGAAUCCUUCAGGCAUUCUUGCUGGAGAACCAAUCCUGGGAGAGGGGCUUCUUGACCAAGUGUCUGGUCCAUGCUGAAGGGGUACAGUGAGGAAAAGUGAGCUGAGCACCACAGUGGAACCACAGCAACCAGACCACUCCCUCAGUGGAUGGAUAGAGCCCACGCCACUCGGGACGUAUCACUGCCAUGUCCUCAGGAGGCCAGGAUGCUUUGACAAUGCCCAUUCUGAUUCCUCUGGUGGAUGUUUUGGAAAGGGCUCGCCUACGCGUCUGCUACAGGAAAGCAAGCUCCUUGAGAUGAUCUAUCGCGUGGAGACAUGCAGAUAGAUUGCGUAUCAUCCUCGCUUUGGACAGAAGGGAGUUGAAUUAAAGAUCAUAUAAAUAUAUCAUUAAAAACAAAAAUGGUAUUUGAACAGCACAUUAUGGUUUACAAAGCAAUUCCUCUUGUUACUAUAUCCUAUCUUCACGAAAACGCUUUAUAGAAGGUUGUUAUUGAGUAAAAACAACCCUUUAUGUUUCUUAGCUUGAAAAUAUACUUUUUCAUUAUAUGGAUUUGAUUGUAUUGCUCUAUUGCUUUCCUUGGUAUUUCUAAGUCAUUUAUGUUUCACUCCCUUACUCCUAAAAGCUUCAAUAGAUUUCUAGAAUUGAAUAAAAUUUCUCCUUCAACGCCCUCCAUGCUUAGGCUCAAACUGUUCUUCCCACGUUAGCUUCUCUCCUCACCUCCUUGGAGACAUAUUUCUCUAUCUUUGUCCUCUCUCUUCCUCCCUCCUCCAUCCCUGCCUACCUCAUCUGCUGAGCUCUCUGCUUCUAACAAGGCUCCAUCCUAAACUUUAACCAGCUCUUCGCUUAGGUACCACCUCCUUAAUAAACUGGUUCUUGUUUACACUCA